rnacentral:sRNA from 1 species
UGGAUGGAGCAAAGACAGAAGUAAAGGGUUGGAGGAGGAAGAAGCCCCCAGAUUGCUUUUUUCCCUUCAUCUGUUGUGGCCCAUCCUGAUGCCUGCCAGAUCCCCAGGUCACCUUUCAUGGAGUGGCAUUAAGGGAAGGCCAGAGGGCCCUUACCACACUGCUGCCCUGCCUCCCCUUGCUAUAGGGCAGCAGUGCCCACUCCCCGGCUGUACACAGAGGCGCUGCAAGAGAAGAUGCAGCGAGGCUUCCUAGCCCAAAAGCUGCAGCAGUACAAGCGCUUCGUGGAGAACUACCGGAGGCACAUCGUGUGUGUGGCAAUCUUCUCGGCCAUCUGUGUUGGCGUGUUUGCAGAUCGUGCUUACUACUAUGGCUUUGCCUCGCCACCCUCGGACAUUGCACAGACCACCCUCGUGGGCAUCAUCCUGUCACGAGGCACGGC